AGAAGAGUCAACGGAAUCCUCAUAGCAGAAAUUAAAGCAACUCCAAGGGAGGGGAUCAGAGAAGCAUCAACAACAAUCAUAACAAGUCAAUUCAAAUCAACAGGGGAAAGACGGAAAUAUAAACCCCACCUCAACAAGCAGCGAAAACAACACAAAUAACAGAGAUAAAAGAAGCAAGGAUGGGAAUAAAAUUUCAUUAAAGCAUGCCCAAGAAGCAAAGAUGUACAUCAAAAACCGGCGGUAAGUGUUCAGUUGGUACAAAUUAAAGAGUUACAAAAUUUUCUUUCGAUAAAGUCAGGAGAAAAGGGGGAACAUCAAGAGGGAGGAACAGAAGCAGCUUGACAACAGCAGAGGAGACAGGAGCAGAGGCAGAUGAAACUGGGGGAGGAACACCACUGGCAGAAGCAUGGCCAGAAACGGCUUUCUCUGUGAACACGGGCAACAUGCCUGCUUCCUUCACUGGGGGAAGACGAGUCCCCAAAUCCAACAGCUUCACAGCCUCCUGCACAUAUAAGUUCUCAUUCGAUACAACUCAAACAGCUGGUCCACCGCGGCAGAGGAGGAGGCAGAGUCAGAGAAAGCUGAGGGUGCCAAGUCAGAAGGCAGGGGAGGCUCCAUGCUGAAUUGAGAAAAUGUCCGGGUGCUCUUGCCAGAAGGAUCCCGCAGCCGAUUCACAAAGCGUACUAGGGAAGCAGAGAAAGCAGGCAUGUACAUGGGCGCGGAGGGCAAUGAGU
rnacentral:lncRNA from 1 species